UGACCUCAGGUGAUCCACCUGCCUUGGCCUCCCAAAGUGCUGGGAUUACAGGUGUAAGCCACCAUGCCCAGCUGUCAAAAUAGUUUUUUUUGUUUUUUUUUUUUUUUUUGAGAUGGAGUUUUGCUUUUGUUGGCCAGGCUGGAGUGCAAUGGCAGGAUCUCGGCUCAUGGCAACCUCCACCUCCCGUGUUCAAGCAAUUCUACUGCCUCAGCCUCCCGAGUAGCUGGGAUUACAGGCACGCACCACCAUGCCCAGCUAAUUUUGUAUUUUAUUUUAGUAGAGAUGGGGUUUCUCCAUAUUGAUCAGGCUGGUCUCCAACUCCUGACCUCAGGUGAUCCACCCACCUCGGCCUCCCAAAGUGCUGGGAUUACAGGUGUGAGCCAUUGUGCCUGGUCUUUUUUUUUUUUUUUUUUUUUUUUUUGGGAUGGACCUUCGCUCUUGUUAUCCAGGCUGGAGUGCAAUGGCACGAUCUCAGCUCACUGCAGCCUCUCCUCCUGGGUUCAAGCGAUUCUCUUUCCUCAGCCUCCUGAGUAGCUGGGAUUACAGGCAUGCACCACCACGCCUGGCUAAUUUUGUAUUUUUAGUAGGUAUGGGGUUUCUCCAUGUUGAUCAGGCUGGUUUUGAACUCCUGACCUCAGGUGAUCCACCCGCCUCGGCUUCCCAAAGUGUUAGGAUUACAGGCGUGAGCCACUGCGCCUGGCCUGAAAAAAAAUUUUAAAGUUUGAGAAAAUACAAAAUUUUCAUAGUCUCCAUGUAUUUCUCCUAAGAUCUUUCCCCGUAUGAGGGGGAAAGAUAGUAACUUUACAACGGAGAAAACCAGCAGAAACCUGAACCAAAUGAACAAGUUCAACAUCAUCAGUAAGAAGCACUAUCAAUGCCAUAACUCUGAUGGAAUGCACUGGGAAGGAUUCCACAUCAUUUUUGUGCUGUAAUUGCCAAAAGUGUGUAACUUCAGUCCAAUCAUGGAAAUACAUCAGACAAUCCCAAAUCGAAGAACAUUUGACAAAUAGUGAUCAGUACUGUUUCAAAAUGUCACGGUUAUGAAAGAUAAGGAAAGACUGAGGAACUGUUAUUGCAGUCCUACAAAACGGCGAGAGACUAAGAAAUAACUAAAUGCAGCGUGAUCCUGGGUGGAAUUUGGGAACAGAAAAAGGACAUUAGUGGAAAAAGUGGUGAAAC
rnacentral:lncRNA from 1 species